UAUAUAUGUUACUUGAGCAAGCUUCAGAGAUAUCUUCUUUCUGGCUUGUAAUUUGCUUCUAAAUGCAAAUAACUCAGCACAGAUUAAAUUUUUUCAAUAUAUGUGUUUGUUAGAUGGCAAAGGCAGUGAUGGAGGCCUUUCCUGCUUUGCCUGUACUGUCUUUUGGGACAUCCAGGAAAGAGAUGGCUUGUGAGAGGAGAAAGUUGGCUUUGUCUAUACUUAAUGGUUCAGUGUUUGAUAUGGAGAAUAAUUGCGCAAUGUGCGCUGUCUCAAAGCCCCCAGGAAAAGGACCUCCCACCACUGAUUGGAUACAGUGUGAUACCUGUGAACGGUGGUAUCAUGAACAGUGCCUUGGGAUGGACGAAAAGCAACUCCUAAAGGCCAGGGCAAGUG